rnacentral:tRNA from 1 species
GGCCUCGUAGCUCAGUUGGUUAUAGCGUUGGCUAUACUAAAGCCUUAACCUUGCUGGCGUGGAUUCGAAUCCCACAAGGGCCG